UUGAUCCUGGCUCAGAUGACGCUAGCGGGAGGCUAAUACAUGCAAGUCGAGCGGUAGAACUAGCUUCGGUUGGUUUGAGAGCGGCGCACGGGUGAGUAACGCGUACGUAACCUGCCCUUCAGUGGGGAAUAGCCCCGGGAAACUGGGAUUAAUGCCCCAUGGUACUUUCGAUCUGCCUGGAUUGAAAGUUAAAGCUUCGGCGCUGAAGGAUGGACGUGCGUCUGAUUAGCUGGUUGGUGAGGUAACGGCUCACCAAGGCGACGAUCAGUAGGGGGCGUGAGAGCGUGACCCCCCACACGGGUACUGAGACACGGACCCGACUCCUACGGGAGGCAGCAGUAAGGAAUAUUGGGCAAUGGAGGCAACUCUGACCCAGCCAUCCCGCGUGCAGGAAGACGGCCCUACGGGUUGUAAACUGCUUUUAUGAAGGAAGAAAGGUUGGCAUUUAUGCUGAUUUGACGGUACUUCAGGAAUAAGCACCGGCUAACUCCGUGCCAGCAGCCGCGGUAAUACGGAGGGUGCGAGCGUUAUCCGGAAUCACUGGGUUUAAAGGGUGCGUAGGCGGCCUGAUAAGUCAGAGGUGAAAGUCUGCGGCUUAACCGUAGAAUUGCCUUUGAUACUGUUGGGCUUGAGUCAGGUUGAGGUUGGCGGAAUGUGACAUGUAGCGGUGAAAUGCAUAGAUAUGUCAUAGAACACCGAUUGCGAAGGCAGCUGACUGGACCUGAACUGACGCUGAGGCACGAAAGCGUGGGGAGCGAACAGGAUUAGAUACCCUGGUAGUCCACGCCCUAAACGAUGCUCACUCGAUAUGCGAUC
rnacentral:rRNA from 1 species